CUGCUGCGGAAACAAUGGCGUCUUUUCCUUUUCCACCAACCUGUGGAUCUGGCCCGGAGCUUCACUGAUCAAAGUUUUCUUAUCCGUGGUGGCGCUGACUUUGAUACCAUCUAAAGUGAAUAUAUGUAGAGUCACACACUACCCAAGCACGACGUCCUGCUUGAAAGCUGCCACUUGUGCACAUGCAGAAGAGCUCUCAGCAUCACCAUUUAUUUAGCGAUUUGAAGACUUCCAGAUGAACAAGAAGAUCACAAAUGAACCUCAACACCCUUCCAUUCAGCAAUUUCUAGACUCUCAUGCUGGCAAGUGCAGCGUAAAUCCUCCACGACAGAAAGCCAUCACAAAUGCAUUACUUUUGACUUGAUUAUUGAUUGCAACCUAACCCUGUCUAUUGUGGAAAACAACAGUUUUCAGCACUUGUCAGUAGUUGACAACAAAUUCAGUCUGGUAUGUCGCAAAACAAUUACGUCAAAAAUAGAGAAUCUUGCUGCAGAUAAACGUUCAAUGGUUAAAAAAAGAGUGUUGGCCGAUUCCAGUUUUUUGCCCCGAUACUGAUACCCGAUACCUGGUUGUGCAGUAUUGGCUGAUACCGAUACCAUACCGAUACCAUCUGUUUGAAAUUGAUGUGUGUGUGUAUAUAUGAAGAAAUGCAUACUGUUUAGGGUAGUAGAAGUUUUUAUUUCCUACCUGGAAUAGGUGACAAUAGUUGAAUAAACUGUUGGCUCUCAAAGGCCAAAAUAGUGCAACAUUCGUGAAAUUAUAACAUGU